AGUGAACGCUGGCGGCGUGCCUAAUACAUGCAAGUCGAACGAAGUGGCGCACGGGUGUGUAAUAUAUCGUUAAUCUGCCCUACACAGAGGAACUACAGAUGGAAACGACUGCUAAUACCUCAUAGUGUAGGAUGAGGCUAUAUCGUAUCAGCUAGUUGGUAAGGUAAUGGCUUACCAAGGCUAUGACGCGUAACUGGUUUGAGAGGAUGAUCAGUCACAUUCGAACUGAGACACGGUCGGAACUCCUUCGGGAGGGGGCAGUAGGGAGUAUUGCGCAAGGGGGGUAUCCCUGACGCGGCAACGCCGCGUGGAGGAUGAUAAUUUUCGGGGCGUAAAGUGCUUUUAUCAGGAAAGCGGUACCUGAUGAAUAAGCACCGGCUAACUCCGUGCCAGCCGCCGCGGUAAUAC
rnacentral:rRNA from 1 species